UACGGAGGUGGCGAGCGUUGUCCGAAUUUACUGGGCGUAAAGCGCGCGUAGGCGGGCCCUUAAGUGAGGGGUGAAAGACUGAGGCUCAACCUCAUGUUUGUCCUCUCAUACUGUGGGUCUUGAGUGAGGUAGGGAGAAGUGGAAUGGCUGGUGUAGCGGUGAAAUGCGUAGAUAUCAGUCGGAACACCGGUGGCGAAGGCGGCUUCUUGGACCUUUACUGACGCUGAGGCGCGAAAGCUGGGGGAGCGAACGGG
rnacentral:rRNA from 1 species